rnacentral:rRNA from 1 species
AGAGUUUGAUCMUGGCUCAGAUUGAACGCUGGCGGCAUGCCUUACACAUGCAAGUCGAACGGCAGCACGGGAGCAAUCCUGGUGGCGAGUGGCGAACGGGUGAGUAAUAUAUCGGAACGUGCCCAGUCGUGGGGGAUAACGUAGAGAAAUUUACGCUAAUACCGCAUACGAUCUAAGGAUGAAAGCGGGGGACUCGCAAGGGCCUCGCGCGAUUGGAGCGGCUGAUAUCAGAUUAGGUUGUUGGUGAGGUAAAAGCUCACCAAGCCGACGAUCUGUAGCUGGUUUGAGAGAACGACCAGCCACACUGGGACUGAGACACGGCCCAGACUCCUACGGGAGGCAGCAGUGGGGAAUUUUGGACAAUGGGCGAAAGCCUGAUCCAGCAAUGCCGCGUGCAGGAAGAAGGCCUUCGGGUUGUAAACUGCUUUUGUACGGAACGAAAAGGUCUGCCCUAAUACGGCGGGCCCAUGACGGUACCGUAAGAAUAAGCACCGGCUAACUACGUGCCAGCAGCCGCGGUAAUA